GCCUUCGUGGUGUAGUGGUCAGUACGCUGGGUGUGUAUUUCAGAGGUCCGUGGUUCGAGUCCCGGGAAGGGCA
rfam:Stegodyphus mimosarum contig44562, whole genome shotgun sequence.